rnacentral:lncRNA from 1 species
UCGAUCGGUAAAUUUUAAAGAGGAUGGGAUUACGUAGUGGGAGGAGGGGAGGGGAUAUUUUCGAAAGGUAUUCGGAUGCUAGUUUCGGGGGCGUUAUUUCGCUAUUUGAUUCAUAUUUUCGUCUCGCGUUUCUUUAUCCGACGUAUAAACGACGGAUCCUAGAAAUAGGGGCGGAAUAUAAAUCACGAAUGACGUGAAUACUUAAUAGACCGUGUUCCGAAUUUAUAUACGCAAACAGCUUAAACCGUCCGAUUUACAUCGUCGCCGUAGAUUUGUACCACGGUGUAUGCAAACUCCGCGCUCUCUCGCCCACGGUAUUAUUUUGGGAUUUGACUAAUCCCGUGAGAGGGCAUGGACCAGCGCGUGUGUGAUGAUCAGCGUCUCGUUUUUCGCCCCGCCGUUCGAUUCACCGCCACGGCCAAGUGUCAACCUCUCGUCUUCGCUCGAUAAACGAUGCCGUCCCAAAUAAACUUGCGGGCUUGGCCAUUCUCACUUCUGCUCCGAUAAACAUCCGAUAUAUGCUUUAAUGGGGAAAAAAUGUUGGAAGAAUCUUCCAUACAGGUGUUUCAGGAUUGCCAGCUAUUAUCUUGCCGGUUUGACUCAUCGCUACCUGAGAUAACGCCGAUCAUAGGUCACAGAUAACAUGGAUGCUCGCACCAUAGAAGCAAUUCUAGGAAUUAGUGGGGAUAACUGGCCGACAGUUAGCGAAAUGCUAUUGUAACAAGUCACUGCGAGGCGCACAUCUGCAUCAUCGUUUCAUUGGACCUUCGAUGAAGUUAACUAGUAAUACUAGUACUGUGGUCGAACAAAUAACAGGUCUAUAAUACAAGAUUAAUAAGAAUGUUAUCUUUGGUACUAAGAAAAUUAUAAAAAAGAAAAAAAAAGUUAACACCAUAAAAAAAUUGCGAUUGCAAUAGAUAAUGACAAUAAUUAUAGAGAUAAGCAUUUCAGUUAAAUGUAAUUAAAUAUAUACUUGAGCAAAAAUAAAAUAAAAAUUGUGUGCAAUCUUCUAUUAUAUUUCUAAUACAUUUCUAAAAUUGUAAAAUAUGGACAAAAAUUUUUGCUUUCAUGAAUUGUUUAAAAAAUUCACGUGUCACUUCCAUUUAUACUAUUAUGACAUAAAUUCGAAAAAUUGGAAAAAUACGAGAGAAAAUAUUGAGAAAGAUGGAAGUAAAAUGGAAAAAAAAAUAGAAUCAAAAAUCAUUUUACAAUAUAAUGAACACAUUACAAUAUAAUCUGCAAUCGGAGGAUCAUGUAAGAAGAGAAAAAAUACGAAAGAAAAGAUAUAUCAGUGAUUGUGUGAGCGUAAUCAUGGAUAUUUCAACCAUAGACGAGGUAUAGAACAUACAUAUCUCCUAUGGAACGAAGGACUUCCUAUUAAUCCUAUUGCAUCAUAUUUUUCAUCUACAAAGAAAUUUCAAGAAUGGGCGUUCAUGAACUGACAAACGUUGUGAAAAAAUUUCUAGAGCGUGCUCCUGACAACUUAUACUAUUCUGAUACAAAGUCGAAAAAUUGGAAAAAAUUUUUCGUUCAAGAGUUUCUAUUAUAAUUCCAAAAAUUCGAAGUCAUCUCCAAGA